GACGAACGCUGGCGGCGUGCUUAACACAUGCAAGUCGAACGGUGAAGCCCUGCUUUUGUGGGGUGCUCGAGUGGCGAACGGGUGAGUAACACGUGAGUAACCUGCCCUUGACUUUGGGAUAACUUCAGGAAACUGGUGCUAAUACUGGAUAUGAGCUCGUGUUGCAUGGUGGGGGUUGGAAAGUUUCGGCGGUUGGGGAUGGAGUCGUGGCUUAUUAGCUUGUUGGUGGGGUAGUGGUUUACCAAGGCUUUGACGGGUAGCCGGCCUGAGAGGGUGACCGGCCACAUUGGGACUGAGAUACGGCGCAGACUCCUACGGGAGGCAGCAGUGGGGAAUAUUGCACAAUGGGCGGAAGCCUGAUGCAACAACGCCGCGUGCGGGAUGACGGCCUUCGGGUUGUAAACCGCUUUCGCCUGUGACGAAGCGUGAGUGACGGUAAUGGGUAAAGAAGCACCGGCAAACUACGU
rnacentral:rRNA from 1 species